UACGUAGGGGGCAAGCGUUGUCCGGAUUUAUUGGGCGUAAAGAGCGUGUAGGCGGUUUGGUAGGUCCGUUGUGAAAACUCGAGGCUCAACCUCGAGACGCCGAUGGAAACCAUCAGACUAGAGUCCGGAAGAGGAGAGUGGAAUUCCUGGUGUAGCGGUGGAAUGCGCAGAAUAUCAGGAGGAACACCAAUAGCGAAGGCAGCUCGCUGGGACGGUACUGACGCUGAGACGCGAAAGCGUGGGAGCAACAGG
rnacentral:rRNA from 1 species